rnacentral:rRNA from 1 species
AUGGAUUUUUCUAGGUUUGAUGGGUCUGAUGUGAGAAUUUGGCUCGAUAAAUGUGAGGCGUUCUUCAGGCUGUACCACAUACCUGACAGUUUUAAGGUUACGUCGGCCUCGCUAUAUCUAAUAGAUAAUGCAGCUCACUGGUACCAAGCAUUCAAACAAACAGGUGCACUGCACACUUGGGACCAAUUUUGUCAAGCGAUUUUGCAAGAGUUUGAUGUGAAUGUAUAUCGACAAAAGAUGAAGGACCUGAUGAUGCUCAAACAGACAACUACUGUGGAGGAAUACAAGCAACAACUCUUAGAACUGGUGUACAUAGUCAAGUUAUAUGAGCCUACAAUCAGUGAUACAUUCCUAGUCACUCGAUUUAUCAUGGGGCUCAAGGAGGAGCUCAGGUCAGGAGUGGAACUGCAAAUUCGGUCAAAUGUGCAACUAGCAGCUCUUUAUGCAUCAGUUCAGGAGGGUUUACUCUUGCAACAGAAAUCCACCAAAUCAAGUUUUACCAAGACACCAUAUGCAUAG